UUCGGCCUCGCACUGACCCUUUCAGUGCCCUCUGCACGCCGUCGCCGAAGCAUCCCUAAUUCGAAUCAGUACGCGAUCUUGUCGCCAUCUAGCGGCGCGGC
rnacentral:ncRNA from 1 species